UCGUAGCCAGCAUAUCGGGCGAAUUUCCGUCUCAACGCAAAACAAUCUCUCAUGCAACUCUUCGUGAUGAAAUGAUUCGGUUCUUGCUAAAGGAAAAUUUGCCGCUGCACAAAAUAGAGAGUCCACAUUUUAAGCGAUUAAUUCUGAAGUGUUCUGGGAUAGCUGAUGGCGCCAGAAGCAGCAUUCCGAAGAAAAAGGCUUUGCGGGACAGUAGAGCAUUGUUUAGUCGUCGUGCGGCUGGUCAUCGCGUAAAGGCAAUCUACGAAGCACACAUUUCCGAUGUGAAAAGGCAACUUAGAAAUGUUUCAUAUUUAGCUGCCACGUGUGAUGUUUGGACGUGUAA